AGAUACUAGGUCCAAGUAUGGGCGUCUGACCCAGUUCUGGAAAAUGAGACGCUCAGGGAAGUCUACUUGGUGCUUCUGGGAAAGCUAUUUCUCCCUAGUAAGAGAGAGACACCCUCUUCCUUACUGCUGGAUCAUUGUGGUGAGGAUCUGAUGACUCACUUAGAAGACAUCACCUAGCGUGCUGAGAAUGAUGGAGCAGACAGAUCAAGAUCUGGGUCUAGGACAACAUCACUGAGUGGUUGAAACAGAUCUGGAAGUAUCUGCUUUCCUGUUCACUAACAAUCAACCUCCUUACUCUUUAAGCCACUGCUAGCAGGUUCUCUGUUACUUGCAGCCAAGCAUAUCUGUAUUAGUUAUCUACUGCUGCAUAAAAUGACCACAAAUAUUUCAGCCAAGAAAAGGAAAAAAAUGAAUAAACAUGGUAAUUAUUUAAUAUGAGU
rnacentral:lncRNA from 1 species